rnacentral:lncRNA from 1 species
UGUGUCUGCAGAGCUGUGUUCAGAGAAGCUGGUGAUGGAUGGGUCCAUUUGGACUCCCGGAAAGGGCCAGACGUCGUGGGUGAGAGAUGAGGACAGAAUGUUGUGUUUCCAUGAGAGCUAUCCCUGAGGGUAAGAUGAGGAGUUUCAUGUUUCUCUGGAGUGAGUAAAAUUUGGGGAGGAUUAAGAAGAGAAUAUUUUGUAUCACUCUUGGUGCUGAGUGCCUCAGAGUCCAGGGCCCACCUAGUGCCACAGAAGCCAAGGCUGAUGUGGGUGAAGGCUGCCGCCCUGAGGGCAGCAGGGAGGGCCAA